rnacentral:rRNA from 1 species
AACGAACGUUAGCGGCGCGCUUAACACAUGCAAGUCGCACGAGAAAGGGAGCAAUCCCCGGUACAGUGGCGCACGGGUGAGUAACACGUAGGUAAUCUUCCCUCGAGUGGUGGAUAACCUUCCGAAAGGGAGGCUAAUACAGCAUGAGACCACGGAAGCGAAAGCUUCUGAGGUCAAAGCCGGCCUCUAUACAUAAGCUG